GAUGAAGAACGCAGCGAAAUGCGAUAAGUAAUGCGAAUUGCAGAAUUUCCGUGAGUCAUCGAAUCUUUGAACGCACAUUGCACUCAUUAGUAUUCUAGUGAGUAUGCCUGUUCGAGCGUCAUUUCAACCCUUAAGCCUAGCUUAGUGUUGGGACUCUACCCUAACCGGUAGUUCCCCAAAAUCAGUUGGCGGAGUUCAGUCGGCUCUGAGUGUAGUAAUUUUCUCUCGCUUUAGAAGUCUUCUGGAUUACGGCCAGAAAGAGACGAGUCUCGCAUCUCGGUGCGUUUCUCAACUUUUUUUUACAAUGGUUGACCUCGGAUCAGGUAGGAAUACCCGCUGAACUUAAGCAUAUCAAUAAGCGGAGGA
rnacentral:misc_RNA from 1 species